rnacentral:lncRNA from 10 species
AUCAGGACUCCCCUCCUCCUCUAGCUAGAUUUGAGAGACACUUGCCAUUAUCUCAUCAUUAUUUUAUCAUGUUAAUGUACUUGUGUAACCUUUUAUAUUUUCUAAAUAUGAAAAAUAUUUUACAGAGAUUACAUUUGACGCAGCUGCUUCCUGAAGACCUAGAGAUCACUUUAAUCUUACAAGCACAUUCUUCAGAUUGUCGUGUGGGUGGGUAACUUCCGCCAGACUUUUCUGGAGAUGGCUAAUCCAGCCGUGGGAUGUGGUUUCUUCUAACAGCCAGUCAGGAAAAUCUUGCUUCUCAAACUCCUGUCUUGACCCCUUCCUGAACUUUGCCUCCUGGAUCUUGAGGUCUGCCUUCUGUGGAAGAGAAAUACUAGAAUCAAUGAACUGUGAACUAGAGCCCUGGGAUUAUCAACAGGUAAUGGUGAUACUGCAGCAGUUGGCUGCAUGAGAUUUGUGAUUACAGACUUGAGAGUGGCUGUCACCUUUGGUGCUACUUGCUCACUCUGGUGGAAGCCAGCUGAAAUUUUGAGAGCCACCUUAUAGAAAGCCUAACAGCAAAGACUGGAGAGAGGCUUCCAGCCAACAGCCAGCAAGGAAUUGAAGCCCUCAGUCCAAUAGCAGUGAGGAAUUGAAUCCUGCCAACAGCCUCGUGGUACCACAUUUUACUUGUCCACUUCCUGCAGAUGGGUUGCUUGCUGCCUGAAUCUAACUCCUGCUACUACUGCAAAUACCACUGCCAUGAAUAUCCUCAGCAAGACCCCCUUCCAGACCUGCAUGAACAGUUGUGUGAAAUGUAUAUGCACAAAGGGACUGCAAGGGAAGACCCAGAGACUAGGGAAGAACUUGGAACAAUAAUCUCAGUUUCUUCAAUUCCUAAACUUGAGAGUAUUGCUGUUUUUAAAUGAAAGUAUUUUUUCCCCCUAAGCAUUUUGUUCUAAAGUUGAGCUGCCUUUGAGGGGAAAUAAAGAGACUACCAGAUUAAUGGGUUUUUUUCAAAUGGGAUGGUGGGGUAAGGAAUAAUCGGGGUGGUCUGUGGAACAACUUGGAGGAUUGGUGUUAUGUCUCAAGAAGAUAUUCAAGUAUGUUCCUCCUUUUUUACCCAGACCGACUGCUUCAUGCUGGGCUUCAGACAUGAGAGGCUAGGAGUAGGAGGCAUGCCUUGUUCAAAGCUUAGUGUCAUAUCCAAGAAAUCACUGCCAAAUCCAGUGUCAUGAAGCUUUUACCCUGUUGUUGUCUUCUAAGAGUUGUAUAGCUUUGGUCUUAUAUUUAGGUUUUGAUCCAUUUGAGUUAAUUUUUUGUACAUGGUGCAGGUAAGGGUCCAACUUCAUUCUUUUGCAUGUAGAUACCCAGUUCUCCCAGGACCAUUUGUUGAAAAGGCAGGCACCUCAUUUUACAGAAGAGGAAACUGAGGCCCAGAAAGAGAAGUGGCAUGCCCAAGGCUGUGCCAGAAGCAAAGUGUAAAAUAGAUCCUGAGCCUCCGACUCCUGGCUUCUGAGACAAGGUCAUAAAAGGCAUUACAGUUUCCUCCUCGAUUUCUCUCUCAGUAACUCCUCCAGGGGACAGCAGCAUCUCUUCUGACUCUUUGCUUCCAUGUCUUGAGGAAGCAGCCUCCUGCCUAUGGCCAUCUGAGGAAGCCAUCUUGGAAGCAGACCCCUCAGCCCCAGUCAAGCCUUCAGAUGACUGAAGUCUCAGCUGACAUCUUGACUUUAAUUUAAAAAAAAAAAAAAAAAAAAAAAAACAAACAAACAAACAAAAAAAAACUCCAAGCCAGAACUACCCCCAACUGGAAUUUGAGAGCUGCUUUCAAAUCCUGACCCAUAGAAACUUAGAUAAUAAAUGUUUGUUGUUUUAAGCCACUCAUUUUUAGAGAAAUUUGUUAUGCAGCAAUAGCUAGCUAAUACAGAGAAUUAACCAGCCUCUCUUAAAUUACCACCACAAAAUCAACUACCUAUUUUAUUAAAAGGUAAAACCAGCUGCUGAAGAACGUUUUUCCUCUCAAGGCUUUGGCACUUAAGAUUCAACAGUAAGAAGGAUUGAAGAGUGAAGGCUUCCUGGCUACCCCGUGGCAUCCUGUGUUUGGUUUGAAGCGUGAUAAGCCUGGGUUGCUCUUCCAGUCCACCUUGUAAGAGACUGAUGUGGAAAAAUGUGUCUCUUCUCAAGGGCUAACUCUGGAAGCUUGGGAAAAUAUUCUAGAUUUGGAUCACAUUAAAAUGGGUAUUAGACCUAGGUUCUAGUUCCAUCUCUAAGAUCUGGAUAUGUCAAAAUCCUUUUCCCUUUGUAGGUUUUAAGUUUGGCCUCUUUAAAUAAAGAAACAAUCACCCAUGCUUUGUCUUUUAACUUGCUACUUAAAACAAGGAGCUGAAGACACUGGCCAUCAUCAAAUAACUAAUGGACAAUUCCCACUGCCUCGCUGAAAUUUGCAGUCUGACUCUCAUCAUCUCUUGCCUUUUUUUUUUUGCUUUGGCUGUGUUUGUGAAACUGCCUUUGCAAAGAUUAUGAGAGGGAGUCUAGCAUGGCCAACUCCAUCUUGCUUCUAGCCUCAUGGGCUGGCUUCCCUUGCUCAUUCCUAGCCAUAGGCCAAGCUAACCAUGGGAGGAAUUUAGUUUAUAGUUUAACUUUGAAGCAAAGAUGAUACUAUUUUAUCCCUAAAACAGAUCCCUUCCUUGUUCGGGUUCUGAAACCACCUUUGUAAGACUAAUGAAAAGCCACAAGAUUAGGAUUAUGGAAAGGGCCUGAAUCCUGCUCAAAUGGAGGCAUCAUUUCUAUACUUCCUUACUGCUCAGGAGUUAUGUGGCCAAAUGGCACAGAGUUGUGACUUCCUCAAUUGCUCCUGUGGAUAACAUCACUAUUGUAGAACCUAAGGCUGGUCUUUUGAGCUGUUUUUCAGAUUUUUGCAUUCUGGCAACUGAGUGAUGCCUCCCAGACUCAUGACUCAACCAGUCCUAUGGCCUCCACCCAGAGGUGGACUCAGCACAUGAGGACUGUUUUCCUCGCACUUCUGUGAUCUCAUCCCUAACCAAUCAGUAGCACUCAUUCCCUAGCUCCCUGCCCACCAAAUUUUCCAUAAAAAGCCUAGCCUCUGAGCUCUUGGGGAGAUUGACUUGAGUGAUAAACUCCAGUUCUUCUCUAUGGCCAGUCUUGUAUUAAUUAAACUCUUUCUUUACUGCAAUACCAUGGUCUCAGUGAAUGGUUUGAUCUGUGCAGCAUGCAGGAAAAACUCAUCAAUCAAUUACAUUUGUCACUAAGUCCUCUCAGCUGGAGACUCAUCAAUGAUAUUAAAUUUUAAAAAACUACCAAGCGAAUACAAUUCAAGUGGAAGCUCACCUGUGGAGCAAUGGGAACACACUGUUAUUCAACAGGGCUGAAGUCUGAAUCAGAUGCCCGGAGGAGAUACGUUGUCUUGGCUUUGCCACUCACUGGCUAUGUGAUCUUGGAUAAGUCACCUCACUCCUCUUGAUCUCAGCUCCCUCUUCUUUAAGAAAA